rnacentral:siRNA from 1 species
UCAAUCAAUGCGCUGAAAGUGA